GUAGGUGGCAAGCGUUGUCCGGAGUUAUUGGGCGUAAAGCGCGCGCAGGCGGUUCUUUAAGUCUGAUGUGAAAGCCCACGGCUCAACCGUGGAGGGUCAUUGGAAACUGGAGAACUUGAGUACAGAAGAGGAAAGCGGAAUUCCACGUGUAGCGGUGAAAUGCGUAGAGAUGUGGAGGAACACCAGUGGCGAAGGCGGCUUUCUGGUCUGUAACUGACGCUGAGGCGCGAAAGCGUGGGGAGCAAACAGGAUUAGAUACCCUGGUAGUCCACGCCGUAAACGAUGAGUGCUAAGUGUUAGGGGGUUUCCGCCCCCCUUAGUGCUGCAGCUAACGCAUUAAGCACUCCGCCUGGGAGUACGGCCGCAGGGCUG
rnacentral:rRNA from 1 species